rnacentral:rRNA from 1 species
CCUACGGGGUGCAGCAGUGGGGGAUAUUGCACACUGGGGGGAACCCUGAUGCAGCGACGCCGCGUGGGUGAAGAAGCGCCUCGGCGCGUAAAGCCCUGUCAGCAGGGAAGAAAAUGACGGUACCUGAAGAAGAAGCCCCGGCUCACUACGUGCCAGCAGCCGCGGUAAUACGUAGGGGGCAAGCGUUAUCCGGAUUUACUGGGUGGAAAGGGGGCGCAGACGGCGAUGCAAGCCAGGAGUGAAAGCCCGGGGCCCAACCCCGGGACUGCUCUUGGAACUGCGUGGCUGGAGUGCAGGAGGGGCAGGCGGAAUUCCUGGUGUAGCGGUGAAAUGCGUAGAUAUCAGGAGGAACACCGGUGGCGAAGGCGGCCUGCUGGACUGCAACUGACGUUGAGGCCCGAAAGCGUGGGGAGCAAACAGGAUUAGAUACCCGAGUAGUC